rnacentral:lncRNA from 1 species
AAAAAAAGGCCGAAAUGUGGUAAAUUGUCUAUAUUCUUGUUCUUCAUUAUUAUCCAUUUAUCAUUAUAAAAAAAAAUCGAAAAAAAAGGGGUAUAAGAAAAAAAAUUAAAAAAAAAAAGGAUAUGAUUGUUAAAGAUUGUGAUUAAAAAAAAAUCUAUUUUUUUUUCUUGCCACACUCUUAAAGUUCUCCUGGUUUCCUUUGUUUUAGAGUCUUUUUUUUUGUUUGUUGUUUUUUGUAAGUUUUUUGUGUGUUGAUUAUCAUCUGAAAUUGAUUUUUUUGUGUUGAUUCAUUUUGGUUUCUCUAAAGAACUAAAAGAGCAAAUUGAGUGGUAAAAGGCAGAGUGUUUUUAUUAUUAAAAAAAAAGCCAAAAAAUAAAAAAUAAAAAAAUUGAGUGAAACACGAGUGAUUGUGUAAACACGUGAGUAGAGUGGUGAGGUCUAUUUUUAAACACUUGUUCCUAAUUUCACAAAUAUUUCACAAUUAUGUCUAGUCCACCUUCACCUAGAACAGCAGCUUUAACUGUUCAGAUCGCAGCCAUGCGUGACAAUUUUGAAAGAUUGUUAA